rnacentral:rRNA from 1 species
UACGGAGGGUGCAAGCGUUAUCCGGAUUUACUGGGUUUAAAGGGUGCGUAGGUGGGUCUGUAAGUCAGUGGUGAAAUCUCCGGGCUUAACUCGGAAACUGCCAUUGAUACUAUAGGUCUUGAAUUAUCUGGAGGUGAGCGGAAUAUGUCAUGUAGCGGUGAAAUGCUUAGAUAUGACAUAGAACACCAAUUGCGAAGGCAGCUCACUACGGAUAUAUUGACACUGAGGCACGAAAGCGUGGGGAUCAAACAGG